rnacentral:rRNA from 1 species
CAUGCAAGUCGAGCGAGAAGCUAACUUCGGUUAGUGGAAAGCGGCGCACGGGUGAGUAACGCGUGGGAAUUUACCUUUUGGUGGGGGACAACAGUUGGAAACGACUGCUAAUACCGCAUAUACCCUACGGGGGAAAGAUUUAUCGCCAAAAGAUGGGCCCGCGUUAGAUUAGGUAGUUGGUAGGGUCAAAGCCUACCAAGCCUACGAUCUAUAGCCGGUUUGAGAGAACGAUCAGCCACACUGGAACUGAGACACGGUCCAGACUCCUACGGGAGGCAGCAGUGGGGAAUCUUGCACAAUGGGCGAAAGCCUGAUGCAGCCAUGCCGCGUGAGUGAGAAGGCCUUCGGGUUGUAAAACUCUUUUAGAUGUGAAGAUGAUGACGGUAACAUCAGAAAAAGCCCCGGCUAACUUCGUGCCAGCAGCCGCGGUAAUACGAAGGGGGCUAGCGUUGUUCGGAAUUACUGGGCGUAAAGAGCGUGUAGGCGGCUAGAUAAGUUAGGGGUGAAAUCCCGGAGCUCAACUUCGGAAUUGCCUUUGAUACUGUCUAGCUUGAGAUUGCGAGGGGAUAGCGGAAUACCCAGUGUAGAGGUGAAAUUCGU